CCUACGGGAGGCAGCAGUGAGGAAUAUUGGUCAAUGGUCGGGAGACUGAACCAGCCAAGCCGCGUGAGGGAUGAAGGUACAGAGUAUCGUAAACCUCUUUUGUCAGGGAACAAAAGCUGGGACGUGUCCCCGGAUGAGUGUACCUGAAGAAAAAGCAUCGGCUAACUCCGUGCCAGCAGCCGCGGUAAUACGGAGGAUGCGAGCGUUAUCCGGAUUUAUUGGGUUUAAAGGGUGCGCAGGCGGUGUGUUAAGUCAGUGGUCAAAGCCCGGGGCUCAACCCCGGCGCGCCGUUGAAACUGACAGUCUUGAGUUGGAGAGAGGUAUGCGGAAUGCGCGGUGUAGCGGUGAAAUGCAUAGAUAUCGCGCAGAACUCCGAUUGCGAAGGCAGCAUGCCGGCUCCACACUGACGCUGAGGCACGAAAGCGUGGGUAUCGAACAGGAUUAGAUACCCGGGUAGUC
rnacentral:rRNA from 1 species